rnacentral:rRNA from 1 species
AUUGAACGCUGGCGGCAGGCCUAACACAUGCAAGUCGAGCGGAGCGGCGGACGGGUGAGUAAUGCCUAGGAAUCUGCCUGUUAGUGGGGGAGAACGUACGGAAAGGGGCGCUAAUUCCGCAUACGAUCAGAUGGGCCUAGGUGGGAUUAGCGAGUUGGUGGGGGAAAGGCCUACCAAGGCGACGAUCCGUAACUGGUCUGAGAGGAUGAUCAGUCACACUGGAACUGAGACACGGUCCAGACUCCUACGGGAGGCAGCAGUGGGGAAUAUUGGACAAUGGGCGAAAGCCUGAUCCAGCCAUGCCGCGUGUGUGAAGAAGGUCUUCGGGUUGUAAAGCACUUUCAGCGGGGAGGCGUUACCCGCAGAAGAAGCACCGGCUAACUCCGUGCCAGCAGCCGCGGUAAUUC